CAUGUGUACUGGCAAGAAAGGAAGCAUAUGGCCAGUGUCCUCCAUAAGCUUCUGGGAAGACAGAAGACACCUGGGACACUUCUCACAUAUCUUCUACAUUAGUGCUACUAUGAAGCAUCUUUUUGUUUUAUUUUCUAAAUAAUAUCCUUAAAAACAAGUUCAUGAAAUGAAGAAUUGGAAGACCAUAAUUAUGGUUUUCAAGUAGCAAAUGUAAUGAAAGCACACAUUUACUGUGCUCUGCAUUGUGCUGACAUCUGGAUACAUCCCAUCCUUAAGGGUGUAGACUAGAACUGUCUUCCAGAAACAUGAAGAAAUUCACAACUAACCAUUGAGCUGAGCUCCUGGAGUACAAUCGAAGUGAGGGAGGAGCAAAAAUAUGAACAAAGGAGUCAAGACCAUGAUGGGGUAGCCCACUGAAUCAGCUGACCCAAAUCACUGACUCAGACAAGUUUACCAAAAUGAAGCUCCUCCUUCCUUAGAUGCCUGCCAAAAGUUGUUCUUUAAAAUGUUGCUGGUGUUAGAACAGUAGCUUUUGCAGCUCUUACAAGCUUAUUGGUGAGUCUCUCCAAAUAUCCAUCAAUUUUUCCUCUUGGGAAGUUCUAGAAAUCCCCCACCAUUCAGUGUUUCAAAUACUUUGCACAAGCCUUCAUAACAUACACUGGCGUGAUGUGUCACUCUUUACACUUGCUCUGAUUCCAACUAUUUUUCUCUUGGCCUAUCUAUUUUAUAAUCCCCUCUAUCCAAGUCUCCAUAACUUCUACUGGGUGGGAAUUGUUUGCACAUAAGGAAGUUUCUCCAACAAGUUGGAUCUGCUCUUGUGAGGGAAGGUUUGCUAUGGUUUGAAUAUUUCUCCAAAUACGGUUUUAUAUGUUCCAUGGUUUGGUUUUAUAUCUCCCCGAAGAUCCAUAUGUUAAUGAUUUGAUCCUUGAAAUGAUAUCAUGGUAGUUGAUGUUCUAGUGGGAGAACCUUGAGUAAUAGAAUGAAUGUCCUGAGAAGGAAUUGUGGCAUGUACACUCCUUUGGCUCUCUUCUAUCUGUCAUGAUUAAUACUCUCAGCAGAGGCCAAACCAAUGGACCCAGCUGAUUCUGCACUGUCUGUUAAUUUUCUUCCUCCUCUUUCCCUUCUUUUGUAUCUAAGCUUUCACUGUAUUUCCCCUGAGUAUUCUGGCUCUCACUAAGCAGAGCAAGCUGCUCUUCAAUUCACAGAAAACCAACUUCCCCUCUCUUUCAAGAGCUGGGAUUACAGGGUUUGCUGCCAUCCUGACAUGCUAUUUGUCUUCUUUCAGUAUCUUUCAGCUGCCAAUUUUAUAAUGGAAAA